UCUUGAUGACUCCAUUUAUAUCAAGGCGUCUGUAACUGGCUAUGCUGCCAAGGAGUUGCCGUAUUUGUGGGCAAAUGCAUUGUCAUGCCAACUGCAACAAUCUCAUUCAAUACCUUCAUUUCUGGCCACGGGUUUCUCUCCAGUUGCUUUGUAGAUGGAAGAAUGCAGGACUCUCUGACUUCAGCAUCCCUAGAGAGGACAGCAGCACUCUGCAAAUUCUUCUGGAUGCCUUCCACUUUCAAAACAUGGACAUAUCUACAGUGAGAUUAUGAAAUCUUUCUUAAUGAAAAAAAAGUCACACACUCCUAACGUCAUAUACUGAAUCUGUGGUGGCCUAUCGGUAAAGACCCAUGGCCAUAGUUAUCACUGUUACUUGUUGCCUUAUUGUUGUGUUGCAGGUUUAUAUUAACUGUACCCUGAGAGCUGCUUUUGCGUCUAGCCCUAUAACUGCUGUCAACAAGCCCGCACAUAUGACCAGUCUAUAUCCAGGUGAGGGACAAUAAUUCACAUUCUGACCUACAGGAAAGGGACAAUUCUUUAUGGUGGAUGUAUUUUUAGCAUAAUUUCCUGCCAGGUUUUGUACUUACAUUCACAUGUGUUUUACCACUUCAAUACCCACAAUUUUUGUAAAAUGUGACAUCAGUUCGCAAUCAGAGCAUGGUCCUGUGCAUGGGGCUGAUGAGGUGUGUGAAUGCUAUGACUCCGGAUGUGAAAACAUAAGGAUGAGAAGGGGCAUCUCUAGACGAGCGACUGAGGGUAACCCAAGUGUAUUUGUUGUACAAUAACAUACUGUAGCCUA